CUACGGACUUAAGUAAUUGAGCCUUAAAGAAGAAAUUCUUUAAGUGGCAGCUCUCAAACUCAGGGAAACCUAAAUCUGUUCACAGACAAGGCAAUCCUGAGCCAAGCCGAAAGAGUCAUGAGUGCUGAGUAGUGAGUAAAAUAAAAGCUCACAACUCAGAGGUUGUAACUCUAAGCUAGUCGGAAGGUGCAGAGACUCGACGGGAGCUACCCUAACGUAAAGUCGAGGGUAAAGGGAGAGUCCAAUUCUCAAAGCCUAUUGGCA
rnacentral:ncRNA from 1 species